rnacentral:rRNA from 1 species
UUAAAUUGAAGAGUUUGAUCAUGGCUCAGAUUGAACGCUGGCGGCAGGCCUAACACAUGCAAGUCGAACGGUAACAGAAAGCAGCUUGCUGCUUUGCUGACGAGUGGCGGACGG